UCGCAUCUUCAGGGAUACGUUCCAAAACUAGACUCCGAAUAACAGAGUUAAUUCUGCCGCUCCAAAACGCAAGGUUACUGACAAUAUGAGAGUCUAUUCGUUCCAAAACUAUAAAUAAUCUACCUCGGAGUCAACUUUAUGAAUCCUGCUUCCGAAGUGAAUUGAAGGAGUAAGUGCGGAUGUGCAUAUAUUAAUAACUAAUAAUAACGGAACA
rnacentral:misc_RNA from 1 species